GACGAACGCUGGCGGCGUGCUUAACACAUGCAAGUCGAACGGAAAGGCCCUGCUUUUGUGGGGUGCUCGAGUGGCGAACGGGUGAGUAACACGUGAGUAACCUGCCCUUGACUUUGGGAUAACUUCAGGAAACUGGGGCUAAUACCGGAUAGGAGCUCCUGCUGCAUGGUGGGGGUUGGUAAGAUUCGGCGGUUGGGGAUGGACUCGCGGCUUAUCAGCUUGUUGGUGGGGUAGUGGCUUACCAAGGCUUUGACGGGUAGCCGGCCUGAGAGGGUGACCGGCCACAGUGGGACUGAGAUACGGCCCAGAGUGCUACGGGAGGCAGAAGUGGGGAAUAUUGCAAAAUGGGCGGAAGCCUGAUGCAGCAACGCCGCGUGCGGGAUGACGGCCUUCGGGUUGUAAACCGCUUUCGACUGUGACGAAGAGUGAGUGACGGUAAUGGGUAAAGAAGCACCGGCUAACUACGUG
rnacentral:rRNA from 1 species